rnacentral:tRNA from 1 species
CAGAUAGAAGCCAAAGUGGAUCGGCACUGUUAUUGGGGGACAGACCUAGGUAGUUCAAGUCUACCCUAUCUGA